ensembl:lincRNA
GGAGGUUAUCAAUAAAUUUCCAUCAAUGACAUACCUUCAUCCUGGUGUGGACAAUAUCACGUUGCUCAGUUGUUUGAAUCAAUUCACGGGUUUAAAACGACAUCAAUUGGUACAUUUCGACCAUAUGCAAGGUCCAAUCAUUCCAGGUACAAUCAAAAUUCCUACCUGUGGGGUUGAUAGUCGAGCAAAUACUUGGAAAGAGAACGUGGGGUCAUGGAUGGGGCGCCAUGGAGAGUCCACUGGGUGCAAGGGGGAGGAGGGCCGUUACCUCCUGGCCACCAGAGGUGACGUGAAUAUUCUCGCUUUAUAGAGGACUCGAGAGAGGGAGAGAGAGAGAGUGAAAGGAGUUCAGAGCACAGGAUGGUUCGGAAAUUCGAGCUGUGCGGAAUGUCGAGGUCGUCAAUGAGAGCGCGCGGUGCAUCUAGCAGCACGAACGUACUCAUUUAUCUGCUGUACUUCGGUUGCUGCGGACUUUCUCUCGGGGAUCAACUCAACACAACAAGCAGAAACAUAACCAAUGUCUCGGCUUCAACAUCACGGGUUCCAAGUGUCCUGAAAACAUCAUUGACGUCACCACGCAUGCCUGGUAAAGCAAGAGCCCCGAAAGAAGACGUGGUUUCGACACCUAAUUUCUCCAAGCAAUCUUCCACGAUGCCACCCAGCAAGGCUCCGGCAGGAGUUGACGUCAUCGUGAGGAGCAUGCCAAAAUCGUCACCGCAACUCAUUCCAGGAGGUUUAGAGUCCACAACUUCACAACAAUUUACCACAAAAGCAUUGAACCAAACUGACGUCAAAUCGAUUCCAUACAACCACAGUGAGACAAAUACAAGAAAUCAUAGCGAUUGGACUCGGCCUGAAUCCUCAACCACAAAAACGAUGACCAAAGAUGCAAACCAUGUCCAUGUUGAAGCGACGAGCACCGUCAGGCAGGUUAUUCUUGGCUUGACAAUCAGCACCAAGGCAAAAAGAACAAGCGAGGACACCUUUGGGACAACCAAGGAAAGCAAAAGGCUUUCAGAACCAACUUCAACUUCAGAAGCACCCGAGGUCAAUCGAUCACUACACACUGCUUUCAUUAUAGUGGGAGCUUUAUUGCUAAUCCCCAUCACGAUGUGGGCUUUGUAUUUCCUCUGGAAAAGAUGCAGACCACCACAGCAGUGUCCGGGUACAACAGAAAUAAUUGAAAAUGGCUGCCAGGAUCGUGGUCCAAAUAACACCAAGCCAGACCUGCCAACCCAAGCAUCAAGGAAUCGAGAUGGCGCACAGCAAUGUCUGGCCAUGCGUGAGGAGGAAGACACACACCUUUGAAAGACCUGUUCUUUUGUACAAUCAUUUUUAUUUUUAUUGUCCCACCGUUUGCAUAUUUUCAGUUACCUGUAAAUACCUGGCUUAUCUUAAUUUUAAAAUGCUCUGCAAAAGCUCAUGCAGUUCCGUUUCUUCUCUGUCCGCAUGUGCAAGCGAGUUUUUCUUUGUGCACAUCUCAUUAUUCACACUGACUCGUGGAUGUUCAAAGAGUCGGAAGUUUUAACAAUUAAUUUUUUAACGGAUGUUUUGAAAUAGCAACAUUCUCAUGUCAAACUGUUUAUUUCUGGGUUUUUUUGUUGCUUCGUUUAAAUCAUAAACGCCAACUUCGUUUAAAUUUAAAAAAAAUUAUAAAUGCCAACUUACUCCUUUAGCGAAUCUGAUAAUUACACAAAUGCAAUUAUGAAUACAUUAUGUUGCAAGAGAAACAAAAGGACGUCUUGUAAAACAACCAAAUCUCCAUUGUUACCUGCACCAACGAAGGUGAACAGAAGUUAUGUUUUUCACUCCUGUCUGUUUGUCUGUCUGUGAGCAGGAUAUCUCAAAAAGUUAUAGACGGUGGACACGUUGGGUGUAGGACAAGCACUAAUAGAUUAGAUUUUGGUGAAGAUCUGGUACAAGAUUUUGACACCAGAGUUUCAAAAGUGGUCCUUCACCAUUGAGAGAUAUGGCCAAAAACUAUAGUUGACAUGAUAUCUCAAAAAGUUAUGGACGGAUUCAGACAAAACUUGGAGUAGGUCAAAAUGGUGGACACGUUUGGUGUGUGACAAGGACGAAUUACUUCGAUUUUUGGUGUAGAUCUCGAUCCGAGAAUUAAAAUUAAAAAACUGAUUCUUCACCAUUGAGACAUAGGGCCAAAAUGAUAUGCAGUAUGGCAUGAUAUUUCAAAAAGUUGUGGACAGAUUAUGACAAAACUUGGUCGAUGAGUUGAUUAGGUGAGAAGAACAAGCCGAUUCGAUUUUCAUUCAGGUCCGGAUGCGGAUCUGGCCUAUCAGUGGGAUACGACUCGUAAACUGUUCAGCCUGGCGGCGGUAUGCGCUCCACCAAGUGCCAUUCUAGUUUUUAUUAUUUUCAGUCUAUAUGCAUUUUGAUGUCGUUUCACCUGCCUCGGAUUUUUUUUUCGUGGGGAAAGGUAUUUGUAAUAAAAAAUAAAAUCAUAUGUACUUUCUCUAUGCAAUCAUUUGUAUUUUAUUUGUGUAACUUUUCUUUAAAGAUGUUAUUAUGAGGUCAUAACUGUGCUUGGGUUGACCACAUUCACUGAAAGAGAUUUUCUAAAUUGGUCUUUAGUAGAAAUUUUAAUUCUUGCCAAAAAAACAACUAACAGGUUUAUUUGAAACAACCUCCCAUCAUAACUUGAUGGUUUCUGCAUCGACAAGACCAAUUACCUCCUGGGAGGUUUUGUGAAUAUGUGAUGUAAACAUGCUGGUGAGGACAAAACAGAAAUAGACAUGGUUGGUCUCAUGGUCCAACUUAGAUUAACCUGCUCAGUCGUUAUUGUCUCAAAACAAAGAGACACAUUUGCAACGUUGAUCUGACUAUCGACUCUGGGUUUAUGGAUUCCACCCACGUGUAGGACUUAAUGUAACUUUUUUUUAAAUCGUGCAGACUGUAAUGCGUUGCACUGACCAGUGACCACUCAUAAAAUCAACUUUUUCUCACUUGUUCCUCUUUUCUCCUGCCUGUGGUAUGAAUUUCCACAUUCUCUUCAAUCUCAUUCUUCCCUCCACAUCUUCAAGACAGCUGUUCAUCACCAUCUCAGAUUGUCCCCAAUCCAAACCAUGAUCUUUCCUAUCCUUGUUACCCCCACCCCCUCCCAAAACCCCAACUCAAUCCCUCCUCCAUCCAAAUCUCCAGUUUUCCCUCCUUGGAGUUUCCUUCGGUAUCCAUUUUGUGCACUUCAUGCAUCCUCUACUGGUCCCCCAUUCCUUCCCACACCCUUUGUUUGUCCAAGUCUCCCUCUAUCCAGGCCUUCGACUCUGCUGUUGAUAUUAACCCCUCUAUCUACUGUUCAUUUUGCAUCCUGUUACAUCUCGCUAGUCGAGGCUCAUGGAAGGGUACAUUCAGUGCACUCUUCCGUGAGCCUCGACCAUGUAUACAAAAACCCCCAAAAAUCUGGAAUGAAUAAAAAAACAAUGUCUGUCUGAAACAAUGAAUGUGCUGAAGUAAGAAGAAUUGCAUCAGGAAUGAAAUAAACACCGUUUACUUACAAUUUAUAAGAUGGCAUUCCUUGUAUAAAACAGCGGCAUAGUUUACAUGAAUGUUACAUUCCGAGUGGGAUGUGUGUAAAGGGUGUGAGGCAAGCAGGAAAAAGGAGAAGGGGGUGGGGUUAAACCCCCGCAAACAUCAAUUCAAACCAUCAGCGUACAAGCUGUGAGAUGAUAAAGUAAUAUUACAAAAGUUUAACAAAUGCAUGGGAUGACAAGAGCCAAUGUCACAUUUUACAAAGCAGCAGAGUUCUCUAGUUAUGAUGUCAUGAUGUUCAAGUUGUACCAUUCAUUGUUUAGUAGAGUAACAAUAUUUCCUGAACUAAAAUAAGCCUCAUUGUUCCUCUCAGCUAAUGAUUCGAGUCAACUUCAGAAAAGUACUGGUUCUAACAGAGAGUUGGGUGUUUCACCUACAGGUUGCACCAGAAUUUUUUUUCUCGAAAAUUCAAAUUGGCAGAGCAACCGGCACACAUGCCCUGCUCUUUCUAAGCAUAUAAUACCGUGAGAUCUUUUUACGUACAUGAUAUAGCUUGGGCGUACGACAGAGAGAGUUCAGUGGUCGAGAAAGCAAAAUAAGAAUAUUUUCUGAUAUGUCUGCGGAAGGAAGUCAUGUUUGCUCUGGAAACACAGCGAUCAAAGGGAAUUUCAGAAAUAGACAAACUUUGGAAAUGUUAAACAGUCUAAAGGAGCGCAUGGCACAACAACAGUGGCCUUCGAGGCACCAACAGUGGGAUGAAGAUUUCCUCGGACAAAUUCAUGU